rnacentral:rRNA from 1 species
GUUUGAUCCUGGCUCAGAAUCAACGCUGGCGGCGUGCCUAACACAUGCAAGUCGCACGAGAAAGGGACUUCGGUCCUGAGUACAGUGGCGCACGGGUGAGUAACACGUGACUUAUCUACCUCCGAGUGGGGAAUAACCUAGAGAAAUCUGGGCUAAUACCGCAUAACACUUACGAGUCAAAGCAGCAAUGCGCUUGGAGAGGAGGUCGCGGCAGAUUAGUUAGUUGGCGGGGUAAUGGCCCACCAAGACGAUGAUCUGUAUCCGGCCUGAGAGGGCGCACGGACACACUGGAACUGAAACACGGUCCAGACUCCUACGGGAGGCAGCAGUGGGGAAUUUUGCGCAAUGGGGGAAACCCUGACGCAGCAACGCCGCGUGGAGGAUGAAAUCCCUUGGGAUGUAAA